UCCUGCAUCCCGCAUCCUCACGCGCACCCCACGACCUUGCGGCCCCUCCUAGAGGGAACAGCCAUUGCCUCAGGAGGUCCAGAUGGGGGCGGUUUGCCAAGCCCUGCUGAGCUGCGUUUAGUCUCACCGUACCCCAGCCUCCUCUGCCGCCUUCAGGCGUCGGCUCAAGGGCUAAGAAAUCAGUGGCCGAGAAACUUGACCCAGUGCACCCAGCUCCCACCCGACUCCCGCUCAAACCCAAUACUGCUGAGCACCCAGAGAAUGGAGACAGGUGACAUUCCUCUCUGGGACCUGGGCUCUCUUUGGUAGAUUGAUGCACUCUCGCCUGUCCCCAGAGGAGGAGCUAAUGGAGCGGAGCCCUAGGGGAGAUAUCUGGUGGACUCUUGCAAUAGCCAUCAAAGCGGAAGCAUCCAGAAUUCUGAUGGUUUCUGCUACUUUCAUCUUCUGUGACCUGCACGCUCCUCCGGACCCAGGGGACAAUCAGGAGGAGACUCACUUAUGCUGAACACCCAAUUACAGGCAACAUGUGUAUAUCAGAUUGGCUUCUCAAUUCCCCCAGAGAACUCUGGGCCAAAACUCUUUGCCCUUCAGUGAAGGUUUGGGUGCAGGUGUGAUAGAUGUUGGAAGCAAGGCGUUGUGGUCGCUGAGGAGGCAGUCCGCCAACGGAACACGCCAAAUGAGACCAGGAGGAGCCCCAGACAGAGAAGAGCCGCGUGAAGACCGAGACUGGAGAGACAUAGCCAGAGAAUGGGAACAGCCACCAGCGCUGGAAAAGGCCGGAACAGAUUGUCC